AUUGAACGCUGGCGGCAUGCCUUACACAUGCAAGUCGAACGGCAGCACGGGUGCUUGCACCUGGUGGCGAGUGGCGAACGGGUGAGUAAUACAUCGGCACAUGUCCUGUAGUGGGGGAUAGCCCGGCGAAAGCCGGAUUAAUACCGCAUACGAUCCACGGAUGAAAGCGGGGGACCUUCGGGCCUCGCGCUAUCGGGUUGGCCGAUGGCUGAUUAGCUAGUUGGUGGGGUAAAGGCCUACCAAGGCGACGAUCAGUAGCUGGUCUGAGAGGACGACCAGCCACACUGGGACUGAGACACGGCCCAGACUCCUACGGGAGGCAGCAGUGGGGAAUUUUGGACAAUGGGCGAAAGCCUGAUCCAGCAAUGCCGCGUGUGUGAAGAAGGCCUUCGGGUUGUAAAGCACUUUUGUCCGGAAAGAAAUCCUUGGCUCUAAUACAGUCGGGGGAUGACGGUACCGGAAGAAUAAGCACCGGCUAACUACGUG
rnacentral:rRNA from 1 species